AAGAACUGAUGAAUGGACUCAAAGGGAAGCUCAAGAACAAUUUCACUACAAUUUAAGAGACAGCCCCCUCCCCUGGGCGUGGGCAGAUGAGCUAUAAACCCCUGCAGUGGAUCUCUUCUCAUGCCCUCCAUAGGAGAUACCUGAUGACUGCAAUCAGGCAAUUAGAAAAGAGGCAAAACUCCUGCUGGUUAUAGGCGGCCAAGGGGCCACCCCUAGAAAGUCAGCUUCACUUUAAGCCAUGCCCUAAGAGAUGGGGGGUAGAUUAAAGGUUUGAAUUCCCCAGCCGCUAUUCCUUCCCUGUCAAGUCCAAAAGAAACAAAUGGCUAACAGUUGAGCUGAUUAGCAUACUGAAGUGUAUGCUGAAGUCCCAACUCUCUCAGCCACUCGACAGAGCCCAUGCUGGCAUCCUGGCUCUUCUCAGGAGCCUCCAGCUCCUGGGGUCUCCUCAGCUUCUCACUUCUAUAUAACCCUGCCUUUCUGCCAAGUGCUCGCUUGGGUCUUGGCUCUCUCUUGGUUCCCCCUCUCUUUCUUCCCUUUCUGUCAGAUCCCAAAGAAACCUUGGACAAGCCUCACUCAGUACCCGGGGCUUCUCCCUCCACCCCCUACCCUACCUCUCCAGCUUCUCUUUCCUAUAUAAACCUGUCAUUUUGGUCUUGCUUCCUCUUGGUUCUUGGCUCCUCUCUUGGUCCUCUGCUCUUGGUUCCUGGUCCCCUCUCUUCUCUCCUCCUUCUCUCUACCCCGAUGGCCCUGUUCCGUGAAUCUUAAAAGACACCUCUGGCUGUUUUCUCCCUCAUGUCUACAAUAAAACCCUUCUCCUCAACCACACCUAGGAUUGGUCACGUCCUCCUUCUCAUCUGCUGUCUUCCGUUCCUCUCUCCCUCUUUGCCUCUCCCUUUCCUCUUGUGACCCAGUCCAUUUUGCCAGUAAUGUUUAGUCUACCACUUUCUCGCUCUGCUCCGGACUCUUCCAGAUGCCUCUGGCUACACUCUCAUAUCUACAAUAAAAUUCUUACUCUCAAUCAUUCCUCGGAGCAGGCACGCCGUUACUUUAUACAGCAGCUCGCGAUUGCCUCAGAAUCAUCUCAACACCAGACACUGAGUGUGAGCUGUGUGAAGUCUGUGUGUCCGAGCUGUCUGUCCAGUGAGGCGUGUGGGUGCUGCUGAGUACAAGGCCGGAUACAUAAUCAAUGCUUCUUAAGACACAGAUAAAGAACCAAGGACCAGGCAUGAUAAAUGUGCUGUUGGGAGGAGAAGUUCAAUGCAGAUCACAGGGGAAGCUGUAAUUAGAAAGCAUAGGCAUUCGGGACUGCCUGCAGGUCAGAGGGGCUGGGCUAGUGGGCUUUGGCAGGGGAGCAGGAAAUGGGCACAGAGGUCCUGCAGUUCAGGGCUGGCAUAAUUGGACAGAGAUCAGCAGCCAGUCACCAUGGUAACAGCCAAUCCGAGGUGCCGUGCCUAUGGCGAGGAGUCAAGGUUUCUAAAGCAGGGACUAAAAAUGCUUCCUUUGUUCUCACUUGGAGUGAGCUGCUAUCAAAUCCAUGCAGGGCUGAUGCGAUGCUUCAGGGACACAGCCAGCAACUGCUGGCCACUGUGACCGGGAGGAAGCCACGUGAAGGUCCAGGAAACCAGCUGGAGUUGGAGAUGGAGAAGUUAAAUAUGUUUCAUGGAACUCUUUGUGCCUCCCUGCAGGGUGGUGGCCACUGCGUAGGUUUAGAGUAUGAGCAGGGCUCUCAUCACAGUUGGGCCUAUUAGCAGGCUGUGACCUGGGAGCAAUCCUACCUCAGUUUCCUUUCAAAGAAUAAUAUGGUUUGUUUGUUUGUUUGUUUUUGUGAGGCAGGAUUUCUCUGUGUAGUCCUGGCUGUCCUGUAGCUUGCUAUAUAAAUCAGGCUGACCUCCAACUCACAGAGAUCCUCCUGCCUCUUCUCCAGUGCUCAGAUUGAGAGCAAGCACCAUCCUGCUAGAAGAACGCAGUCUAAUGUUUGUUCUGCAGGGAGGCCUGUCUCACAUCUACCUAGGGAGUGCAAACCCUAUUGUCAUGAUGGUGACCAAAGGGCUUUGGGUAAGUAAAAGCCAUAUUUGAUUCUUUAGCAGGGAUAAUCAAAAGGCUCCCUGUGAGACCUAAAAGUUGAAGGGAGAGUAGUUAGAUCAACAACGUGAUAUUAGAAAGGAAAUAUUCUCAAGGCAGUCAAGAGAGCUGGGAGCCAUGAGAGACCCCAAAGCCUUUGUUCUUCUGCCCAAGUCAUAGUCCUAAACAGGAUGCCUUUGAGUUUGCUCAUCCUCUUUCCUGCCAGAGCAGGAGAAGGGAAACAGGGGAAGAACCUGAAGUAGGUGUUUCUAGGGAGUUUCACAGGAAGAUGUGAGAGGAAGAUGGAGGGAUGGGAGAGGCCACUUUGCUUGCAACCUGGACAGGCCAGAAGCAGGUUGAGCAAGGACACAGCUGUGGGCUGCCCACAUCUUCCUCCCCAGCCAGAAGUAUCAAGAGAUACAAACAUCCCUAUUUGGACUCUGGAGCAGUCAUCUGUUGCUAUGGCAACUGGGUGGGCUCUCCGGUGGGUGGAAGAAAGCGCAGCUGAUGGAGAUCAGCACUCAGGGCUGUAGCUCUACCCUUUCAUGGAUGUAGUGUUUAUGACAGGGCGAGAGCAAAGCAGGACCUUUUUGCCAUCAUCCGGCCUUCACUCCAGUCUCAGAUCUGGCCUGGCUCACAACAAGGAGCCAGGUGCAGAGGGGUAGCUCCUUGGGGACCCGUACCUUGGGCAUAUUUCCUUAGAUCACAUGUUCACCUAAGGGAUUUGUGAUGUUUUGUCUAUGCUUGGCCCAGGGAGUGGCACUAUUUGGAGGUGUGGCCUUGUUGGAGUAGGUGUGUCACUGUGGGCGUGGGCUUUAAGGCCCUACUCCUGGAAGGGAAUAUUCUGCUAACAGUCUUCAGAUGAAGAUGUAGAACUCUCAGCUCCUCCUGUACUAUGCCUGCCUGGAUGCUGCCAUGCUCCUGCCUUGAUGAUACUGGAUGAACCUCUGAACCUACCCAAGGGUAGCGCCCCUUCGGGACCCUGAAUAACUGGGUCCCCGCUGGCGGGGACAAGUGGCGCCUGAACAGGGACCCCGAAGUACGGCCAACUACCGGACGACGGAGACAGGAGAUCCAUGGAGAGAUUGAGGACUCUUCAGGCUGCAUCGCUCCUGCAUCGCUGGAGAGGGAGGUAAGACCGGUCGAGUAAGUGUCGUCCCAUCGCCGUGGGGAAGGUAUUGUCUAAGGAGGCUUGAUUCAUAGGAGAGAUCAAGCGCUCAUUCAGGGAGAGAGGAAAGAGUUAAGAAAAAGGAUUUAAUCAAUUUUUUUUGUUUUGUUGAUGAAAAGUGUCCUUGAGGUAAGAUGGGCUAGAAAAGGCCUUGAUGAUUUGGGCUAGCGUAAGUAAAACUUGUAAUAAAAAAGGGACAAGGUAAUGGUAAAGUAUUUUUGUGUAUGCGUUCUUUUAGAGUUAUGUUUUAGUCUUUGGACCCUGACUAGAGAUAGUUUACACCCUAGACAUGAGAGAGAAUGGGUUUGGGAAAAACAGUCCUCCCGGACUCUCCGCAGAUGCUUUGGAGAAAGAGAAAAACCUUUUCAGAGCUCUCUUAGGAACAGAGGGAAAGCAGACGUCCUGCCUCUCUGCUGGUUCCUAUUGGAGAAAUGCUUAUUUCUGGUUCUGGGUUCCAUAGGUAGGAUAUGUGGGACACCAUCUAGUUUUUUCCCUCUAUGCCUAUUGUCUGUCCUUGGUGCACCAAGCCGUCCAUGUCUGUCAGUUUAUGUCUGUGGUUUUUGCUUCUCGUUGCUUGAAUGUUUUGUGUUUCAUGUUUAAAAGAAAAGGUUAAAAUUUUAAAUGCUGGUUGAUUCACCCAUUGAUGUAGUUUUAACUCCUUUCAAGAAAGGUACAAAUAAAAAGUUUCAAUUGGCUUUUGGAGCCUGCAUCUGUAGCUAGAAGCCUAAGUCCACUGGGCAAGCUCCCCAGGGGGCUGGCUAAAUGUUUACACUAGCCGAUCCUAAAGGCACUAGGAGCUUCACAGCUUCUAUGGUAAUGAAUCUGAUAGCUGUUUCUCUUAGAAAAAUCCCUGACUUAUUAUUUGACUUAGCAGGUGACAAGGUGCUUCUCUUAAUAUUACAGCUAGAAAAAGUAAAAAUGGUGCUUGGUCUAAAUAUUAAAGAUAUGUAUAGCCACUUCAAUUUUGUUUCUGAUUGGUUUUAAAUGUAUAAAUAUGCUCUACACGCUUUGGUUAUGUACUAUUGGCUUUUAAGUUAUUAGAUAUGGUUAAAAAGGUGUAACAUUGGUAACAGAAAGUUGGCUUAAAAUUGUAAUUUAGAUGAAGUCAUUCUAGAUAACAUGUGACAUGGGCCUGGUUGCCUUGUCACUGUUUGGCCUUAGCCUUAGAUUAUAGGAUCAAAAGCCUCUCCCUGUAAUUUACUGCACAAGAAGUUUACAUUCAUGGAAUGUUUUCAGCCGCAACAAGACCCUUCUGGGUCUCCAACAAGGUUUGACCCCUGCUGAGCCCUGCCCUUGCAUGUGGAAGCUUUUUGUUCCCAACUGGCAGUCUGGCCAGGUACUUCUCACCUGAGUCAGAAUUAGGCUGGCCUUCCUGGUUAUUUCCCUAAUUUAUUCAGGCCACAUAGUCUGUCCUUUGUUACCGAAGUCUCAGCCAGGGUUCCCCACUGUGCUUUGCAGAUACCUGCUAAGUGCUGUACUUUAGAUAUAUAGUUUGGUCCAUAAAGAAACCAGAGGCCUUUUCCUCUUCUGGCUUGACACAAAAAAAAAAAAAAAAAAAAAGAAAAAAAAUCAAACAGGUAGAGAUUGUUACAAGACUUACGAAAGAUUGAUGAGGUUUUAGAACUUGUGAGAGCAUUACAGCCAGUUUGCUUACUCCAACUGCCAUUUCAAGAUAGAUUUAGAGGACUGAUUUUAUACAAUUUGUUUACGUCCUGGCCAUUGUGAGUUUUCAUUUCGUGAGCUUGCUUAUAAUUUUAGAGAGCCCACAAAGUGAUAUCAUUAAAAAUUUUACAAGGGGCUGGGGAUUUAGCUCAGUGGUAGAGCGCUUACCUAGGAAGCGCAAGGCCCUGGGUUCGGUCCCCAGCUCCGAAAAAAAGAACCAAAAAAAAAAAAAUUUUACAAAAGAAUGGCUAAUAGCCUUAUAUUAUGUAAUUUUGUCGCUUCUUCAAUGUAAGAAGUUAGAACCUUAAAUCUUUCAGUGUAUAUGAAAAUUUUUACUACAAACCUUUGCUCUCAAAAUGAGCUUUAAUAUUUGGGGAGUAGCUGUUGCAGAAAAGAAUAUUUGAAGCUAAUUUUAAGCUUCUAAGGAUAUGUUAAUUGGCUAACUACCUCACCUUACCAGAGGACUUAAGCCUUCCUUUGUUAUCCUCAUUGGAGAUAAAGCUUCAGUUGUGUUAAUACAGAACUGUAGACUAGAGUCAUGGAAGUAUUUUAAAAAAGAAACCUGGUAAAACAUAUUUUAUUCCAAACAGCAAUUAAAUUGGUUAUUACAAAAUACUGAUAUUUGGCCUAUCACAUAUACAAAUCUCAGGCAAAAUUGAUAAUUUUACUCUUUGCAUGCUUUUGUAUUUCCUAUAAAUUUGUGCAUACAACCCAUAGAAAAUGAGCUUACUAUAUUUAUAGGUGGUUCAUCUAAUGAAAAGGCUACAUGUAUGAUUGGAUCACUUGUUUAUUCUCUUCAGUUUCCCCUGCUUUAGCACAGAUUAUUAAAUUACGUGCUGUAGCCACUGUUUUAAAAAAAAAAAUCAAGCUUUUAAGUCAUAUACUGAUAGCCAAUGUAUGGCUUAUGGUUUACAGUUGAUUAAAAAGUUUCCCUUUUUAGAUACUACUAGCCCUCAAAUUAUACAAUUACUUAAUGAUAUAUUAGAGACAGGUUUUCUACUUAAAAUCAAUGAGUGAUUUCAGUGUGAAUUGUCUGACAACUCAAUGUCCUUUCAGUGCUCUGGCUCAGACAACUAAACAAAACCAUAGACCCAGCUCUUUAAAAAUGGUAAUAGAGUUGAUAACACACCCUCUUGAAAAGAGGAAGACUCCAUUUGCUUACUUUCAACUCCCAGCCUCACCCUGCCAGCUCAGGGAUUUCUAGUGCGACUAAAUCUGGACAAUAUUUAUAGGAUUUGGCAUCUCUAAUUAAUGCUUAUGUUUAGGUAAAUAAAGCUGGUGAGGGGCUGGAGAGAUGGCUCAGUGGUUAAGAGCAUUAAGUACUAUUCCUUUAUAGGCCAUUUAAGAACUCAAACUGGAUUGCCUAGACCCCUUAACAAGGGAGGACAAUGAUACCAGGCAGAUUAUAGGCCUUACAUAGGAAUAAUUAGUCAAAAAAUCUCAUUCUUUAUAUCACCAAAACAAUAAUGCUGGAGAUAAUAAUUUGGUAUAAAAGUAAAUUUAUAAAUACAAGUGCUCAGUGUCCUCAAUUUAAUCCUCAAGGACUUAUCUUAAUAAAUAAUAUUUUAACAAUAUUUUAGUAAAUAAAAAGGGGAGUUAUCCCUGUAUGCUAAAAUAUGCUCCUUUUAUUUCAAUUUUAAAAUUUGGAUGCCAAGGAACACUCUGAGUUUAUGGCACCCUACAGCUAGGCAUACUUCUGCCUAGGUGAAAUAGAAAGAUCCACAUAUUGGCAUGAUCCUGUUCAGAUAUUUUAUAUGGGGAAGAGGGAAUCUUUGUGUUUUUUCUAUAGGAGGCUACAGGAGUGUGCCAGCUGCCCGAGUGGCUGGUGAGCCAUGCUGAUCCUGGGAGCAUGAAGAUUCAGCUCUCCUGGUUCAGGUCCCUGGAGUCAUUCCUGUGUCCUUGGAGGAAUAUGGAGGAUUCCCACUCAUCUUUUGUCAUCACAGAAAUUCUGGCGUUGCUGCAGUCAUUGUGUCCCGUCCCACCACGGCCUGCGCUCUGACCCUCUGCACUGUUGCUUGGUGGAAGCUGCUGUGGACUGGGGAACUCUGCCCUGGUUUUGCAGAUCUCAGACAUGGUUCCAUUGCCUGCUGGUUGUUCCAGAGAAGAAUGACCGAUCCUGAACUGUCCUGGGAAAGACCUUGGCAUUUUCGCUGCUAUUGUAGCAGCCAUUACUGCUGCAGCCAUUGUGUCUGCAGUGUCUGGAGCUACCCUCCCCCAAUCUAUUGUUAGGCAAGCACAGUGGGUGAACUUUCUGGAGUAGUUGCUAACAAUUGGGAAUUCUAAAUUUUAUUACAGGAGAGGCUUGACUAGGUCCUUGGUGGUAUAGCCAUAGCAGCUGAGGAGAACCAGAUGAGGUGCCCACUACUUAUCAUCGGGAGAGGCUCAAUUUCCACAAUCUCUUAUAUUAAUGCCAUCUGGCUCCUACUCUUUCGCCCCUGGGCUCAAGUAAGAGGAAUGAGAAGAUGAUCCAAUGUAGCUUUCCUCAGUGACGGGCAACUUCCUCUGACCCUUGACCAAUCUAGACAUGGAGCCUUGAGGGCGACAAGGUGGUCCUAUGACAGAGAGGCUGGGGUUUGAGAGGUCGAUCCUAAGACAGAGGUGGCUACACCCCGUUUAAACGUGCGGGCCGGUCAAAUGCUCCUCUGCCCAGUUUCUCCCCCAAUAAACACACGUAUAGCCCAGAACGGUGUGUUACAGCAUAAGUUCAUUCCUAGCCAUUGGGGUGCAGUCCUAACUGCAAGAGUGGCUCACCAUGGCCGAGCUGGGCACUCUGUGAGGCAUGUCUGAUCUCUCUCAGACCACUACUUCCACCUAAUGGUCUUUUAUAAAAGAAAAAUGGGGGAGAUGCACGGAGCCGUAUUGGAUUUGGGCCUAGCCACUUUUUGACUGCAUGGCUCAAAGUGGCUAGGUGACUUUGGGCUAUUUGGCCACAGAUAUUCACCCCUAAGAUGACUGCCAUAAGUCUUAAGAUUGUUGAAUGAAAGCCUCUCCCAUGAAUUUACGGCACAGGAAGAUAACAUUCAAGGGAUGCCUCAGCUCCCUUAGCAGAUACCUGUUACCUCCUGAAUCAACACCCAGUGUCUCCACCGCCUGACCUCAUCGUCUACCUCCUGACCUCUUUGCCUCCAGCUAUCACUACCUGUAUCCGCACCUCCCCCUCUUCUGUGUUUCACAAAGGACACUCCCCCUACCUGAAAGCCUUAAAAGCUGUAACAUUCACCCCAAUAAACGAGACCUUGACAACAGAA